rnacentral:rRNA from 1 species
GACGAACGCUGGCGGCGUGCCUAAUACAUGCAAGUCGAGCGAAGUUUUUCUGGUUCUUGCACUAGAAACACUUAGCGGCGAACGGGUGAGUAACACGUAAAGAACCUGCCUCAUAGACUGGGACAACUAUUGGAAACGAUAGCUAAUACCGGAUAACAGUAUUUCUCGCAUGAGAGAUAUUUAAAAGUUGGUUAUGCUAACACUAUGAGAUGGCUUUGCGGUGCAUUAGCUAGUUGGUGGGGUAAAGGCCCACCAAGGCGACGAUGCAUAGCCGACCUGAGAGGGUGAUCGGCCACACUGGGACUGAGACACGGCCCAGACUCCUACGGGAGGCAGAAGUAGGGAAUCUUCCGCAAUGGGCGAGAGCCUGACGGAGCAACGCCGCGUGAGUGAAGAAGGAUUUCGGUUCGUAAAGCUCUGUUGUUAGGGAAGAAUGGAUAUGUAGUAACUAUACAUGUAAGAGACGGUACCUAACCAGAAAGCCACGGCUAACUACGUG